UACGGGGGGGGCAAGCGUUGUUCGGAUUUAUUGGGCGUAAAGAGCGUGUAGGCGGCCAGGUAGGUCUGCUGUGAAAACUCGAGGCUUAACCUCGAGAUGUCGGCGGAAACCAUCUGGCUAGAGUCCGGAAGAGGAGAAUGGAAUUCCCGGUGUAGCGGUGAAAUGCGCAGAUAUCGGGAAGAACACCCGUGGCGAAGGCGGUUCUCUGGGACGGUACUGACGCUGAGACGCGAAAGCGUGGGGAGCGAACAGG
rnacentral:rRNA from 1 species